UACGGAGGGGACUAGCGUUGUUCGGAAUUACUGGGCGUAAAGCGCACGUAGGCGGAUUUGUAAGUCAGGGGUGAAAUCCUGGAGCUCAACUCCAGAACUGCCCUUGAUACUGGCGAUCUCGAGUUCGGGAGAGGUGAGUGGAACUGCGAGUGUAGAGGUGAAAUUCGUAGAUAUUCGCAAGAACACCAGUGGCGAAGGCGGCUCACUGGCCCGAUACUGACGCUGAGGUGCGAAAGCGUGGGGAGCAAACAGG
rnacentral:rRNA from 1 species